GACGUAGGGCGCGAGCGUUGUCCGGAUUUAUUGGGCGUAAAGCGCGCGUAGGCGGCAAGGUGUGUCGUGCGUGAAAUCUCCCGGCUUAACUGGGAGGGGCCGUGCGAAACUGCCUGGCUUGAGGUCGGAAGGGGAAAGUGGAAUUCCGGGUGUAGUGGUGGAAUACGUAGAUAUCCGGAGGAACACCAGCGGCGAAGGCGGCUCUCUGGGACGGUACUGACGCUGAGACGCGAAAGCGUGGGGAGCGAACAGG
rnacentral:rRNA from 1 species